rnacentral:rRNA from 1 species
GACGAACGCUGGCGGCGUGCUUAACACAUGCAAGUCGAACGGAAAGGCCCUGCUUUUGUGGGGUGCUCGAGUGGCGAACGGGUGAGUAACACGUGAGUAACCUGCCCUUGUCUUUGGGAUAACUUCAGGAAACUGGGGCUACUACCGGAUAGGAUCUCCUGCUGCAUGGUGGGGGUUGGAAAGUUUAGGCGGUUGGGGAUGGACUCGCGGCUUAUCAGCUUGUUGGUGGGGUAGUGGCUUACCAAGGCUUUGGCGGGUAGCCGGCCUGAGAGGGUGACCGGCGACAUGGGGACUGAGAGACGGACCAGAGGCCUACGGGAGGCAGCAGGGGGGAGUAUUGCCCAAUGGGCGGAAGCCUGAGGCAGAAGCGCCGCGUGCGGGAUGACGGCCUUUGGGUUGUGAACAGCUUUCGCCUGUGACGAAGCGGGAGUGACGGUAAUGGGUAAAGAAGCACCGGCUAACUACGUG